GAUGAACGCUGGCGGCGUGCCUAAUACAUGCAAGUCGAGCGAACAGAUGAGGAGCUUGCUCCUCUGACGUUAGCGGCGGACGGGUGAGUAACACGUGGAUAACCUACCUAUAAGACUGGGAUAACUUCGGGAAACCGGAGCUAAUACCGGAUAAUAUAUUGAACCGCAUGGUUCAAUAGUGAAAGACGGUUUUGCUGUCACUUAUAGAUGGAUCCGCGCCGCAUUAGCUAGUUGGUAAGGUAACGGCUUACCAAGGCAACGAUGCGUAGCCGACCUGAGAGGGGAUCCGCCACCCCGGGACCGAGACAACGGCCAAGCUCCUACGGGAAGCAGCAGGGGGGAAUCUUCCAGAAUGGGGCGAAGCCCUAAGGAGCAAAGGCGGGUGGAGGGAGAAGGGCUUCGGGUUGGAAAACCCUUUUAUUAGGGAAGAAACAAAGGUGUAGAAAACCAGGCCCUUUUGACGGUACCUUAAGAAGAAGCCACGGCUAACUACGUG
rnacentral:rRNA from 1 species